ACGACUCUCGACAACGGAUAUCUAGGCUCUCGCAUCGAUGAAGAACGUAGCAAAAUGCGAUACUUGGUGUGAAUUGCAGAAUCCCGUGAAUCAUCGAGUUUUUGAACGCAAGUUGCGCCCGAAGCCAUUAGGCCUAGGGCACGUCUGCCUGGGUGUCACGCAUCGC
rnacentral:rRNA from 1 species